GAUAAGAGCAAAACUCUGUCUCAUAAAAAAAAAUAAUAAUAAUAAAAACGAUUGCUUAAGGCCUGUCUGCCUCUCUUUCAAAGGGAAAAUCCCUCAGCUUUUUAAAAUAAAUUAAAUCCUGUCAACGAGCGAUGAGGGUUGAUUAGAUGAGAUUGGGGGAAGAAGCCCUCCUUCUCAAUGAGUGGUCCAGAAACCAGCAGCAUGGGCGUCCCAUGGGAGUGGUCGGAAAUGCUGACGCUGAGGGCCCUGAACUGCUGAGUCAAGCUCUUCUAAUGAUCCGUAAGUGGUCUGCACACACAACAUGCCUCAGAGAAGCCCUGCUGGGAGGCACCCACGCAGACCCAGACACUCACUGACCAUGGCGGGAGGUGGCACCUAUUAUUUUUAUGAUGAGAGGGAACCUCAAACUCUACUGUGAUGUAAGUGGUCUCAAAGUCCCUUUGAAGUCACCAUUUUAUCUAAAUCAGAAAUAGAGAGGAAAAAAAUAAGAAAUGGCCAGCUUAGAAAGACUCAAAUUCUUUUGGGGGGAAAAAAUACCAGGAAGAAAGAAAAGAAAAAUACAUUGUUUCCUUGGCCAUCUGUGUGAAGAAAUAACAAAACCACCCUUGACAUACCAGCAGGAAAGAACACUGGCGAGCUUUACUUGACAGAAUUAUUAGAAACGCCUCUUCCUGGUUCAGGGGAAAAAAAAAUUCCAAAUAGGUUUGUAAGAUUUUUUUCCCUAGCGUGCUUGCAACUCCCAGUAAAGCCAACAACCAGUUUUCAAAACCUUUUGAUUCUACUCAUCCCGUGGUUAAUAAUUUCCAGUUUACCCAGCAGGCUACAUAACAUCCCCUUUCCUGGGAAAUAAUUUCUGUGUCCUGGAUGGCAGUGAGCUGGUCCCCUUAGCAGCUGAGCUCCUCCUCCAGCCCUGUGGCUGCCUCCUCUCCAACAGGGACCUUCCUGGUGAAAGAAAAGAAACUCAGUAAUUCACUGAACAUCACCCAAGACCGGGUGCAGACCGAUGCCCGGGCGUAUAAAAGACGUAGUACUCCCUUCAUUCCCGUUUCACAGGUGCACAGACUUCAUCUUCGAGAGGCUCCUGCCAAAAGUCACCCAACUGAUUUUCAUCCACUUGGCUCCCCAGGUUGCUGCUCGACCGCUCUCUGACCUGGAUUCACUGAGGACACAUCAGGCCUUUGCCACUGGGUUCAUGGGGUGGCCAGAGCCCAGGGUUGGGUGAGUGUGGGGUGGGUCUGAGGGGGAGGAUGUGCAUCCAGGGGCCAGGCCAGCCCCUGCAGGAUUUUCUGAUGUCAAAUCGCCUGUCCUGUGCCUGAGCCCUAUUACCCUAGCAGAAUGAGGACAUGCGCCUCCCUGGGCUUCCCCAGCAUGGCCUGAGUGAGUAUCUCCCUGGCUGCAG